UAUAACUAGUACUUAUUCUCAUGUUACAAAACCAUAAAUAUCAUCUCUCCUCCUUUUUUUAUUACGAAUCUACAAUGAUCCUCUAUCCUCUCUUUUGUUACAAAUCCUCUUUCCCCUCUUUGAUUUCAACCUUUUUGCAAGAGACAUGUCUAAAAAACAUCGACACAGAAUUCGAGAACCCUAAUGUCUUAACCAAUUAUCGAGGUACUUCAAGGAGAAAAUGAAGUUUGAAUGUUGCUACACCGCUUACCAGUAUUUAGGAAGAGCAGCACUCUUCCUAAUAAAUGCUGUCGAAUAUGGUUUUAACAUCGGAAAAGCCAGUGAGUUCACUUGGACAACAGAAGUAGGAAGAGCGGCGACGGAGAUCAUAUUCCUA